UACGUAGGGUGCGAGCGUUGUCCGGAAUUACUGGGCGUAAAGAGCUCGUAGGUGGUUUGUCGCGUUGUCCGUGAAAACUCACAACUCAAUUGUGGGCGUGCGGGCGAUACGGGCAGACUGGAGUACUGCAGGGGAGACUGGAAUUCCUGGUGUAGCGGUGGAAUGCGCAGAUAUCAGGAGGAACACCGGUGGCGAAGGCGGGUCUCUGGGCCGAUACUGACGCUGAGGAGCGAAAGCUAGGGGAGCAAACGGG
rnacentral:rRNA from 1 species